rnacentral:rRNA from 1 species
GACGAACGCUGGCGGCGUGCCUAAUACAUGCAAGUAGAACGCAGUUGCGAACGGGUGAGUAACGCGUAGGUAACUGCCUCAUAGCGGGGGAUAACUAUUGGAAACGAUAGCUAAUACCUAAUACUGUGAGAUGGACCUGCGUUGUAUUAGCUAGUUGGUGAGGUAAAGGCUCACCAAGGCGACGAUACAUAGCCGACCUGAGAGGGUGAUCGGCCACACUGGGACUUGUACACGGCCCAGGCUCCUACGGGAGGCAGCAGUAGGGAAUCUUCGGGAAUGGGCGGAAGUCUGGCCGGGCAACGCCGCGUGAGUGAAGAAGGUUUUCGGAUCGUAAAGCUCUGUUGUUAGGGAAACGGUAACUAACCAGAAAGGGACGGCUAACUACGUGCCAGCAGCCGCGGUAAUUC